rnacentral:rRNA from 1 species
ACGGGUGAGUAACACGUAGGCAACCUGCCCUCAAGCUUGGGACAACUACCGGAAACGGUAGCUAAUACCGAAUACUUGUUUUCUUCGCCUGAAGGAAACUGGAAAGACGGAGCAAUCUGUCACUUGGGGAUGGGCCUGCGGCGCAUUAGCUAGUUGGUGAGGUAACGGCUCACCAAGGCGACGAUGCGUAGCCGACCUGAGAGGGUGAUCGGCCACACUGGGACUGAGACACGGCCCAGACUCCUACGGGAGGCAGCAGUAGGGAAUCUUCCGCAAUGGGCGAAAGCCUGACGGAGCAAUGCCGCGUGAGUGAUGAAGGUUUUCGGAUCGUAAAGCUCUGUUGCCAGGGAAGAACGCUUGGGAGAGUAACUGCUCCCAGGGUGACGGUACCUGAGAAGAAAGCCCCGGCUAACUACGUGCCAGCAGCCGCGGUAAUACGUAGGGGGCAAGCGUUGUCCGGAAUUAUUGGGCGUAAAGCGCGCGCAGGCGGUCAUGUAAGUCUGGUGUUUAAUCCCGGGGCUCAACCCCGGAUCGCACUGGAAACUGUGUGACUUGAGUGCAGAAGAGGAGAGUGGAAUU